rnacentral:rRNA from 1 species
AGAGUUUGAUCCUGGCUCAGGAUGAACGCUAGCGACAGGCUUAACACAUGCAAGUCGAGGGGCAGCAUGAUUUGUGGCAAUACAGAUUGAUGGCGACCGGCGCACGGGUGAGUAACGCGUAUGCAACCUACCUAUCAGAGGGGGAUAGCCCGGCGAAAGUCGGAUUAAUACCCCAUAAAACAGGGGUCCCGCAUGGGAAUAUUUGUUAAAGAUUCAUCGCUGAUAGAUAGGCAUGCGUUCCAUUAGGCAGUUGGCGGGGUAACGGCCCACCAAACCGACGAUGGAUAGGGGUUCUGAGAGGAAGGUCCCCCACAUUGGAACUGAGACACGGUCCAAACUCCUACGGGAGGCAGCA